GUGAAUCAUCGAAUUUUUGAACGCAAAUUGCACUCUCCUCUGAGAGUAUGCCUGUUUGAGGUUCAGCCUAUAAAAAUCGCCAUCGUUUCUUUUUCGCGGUGGCGUUCGUCGGAAAUUGGGUCAUCUUAAAUCCUUUUGAUUUAAGCGACUUACGAUUUUCUUUUGGUUCCAUGAACGUUUCUAAGAUUUAUUUCUUUACACGUUUAAGGUAUCAAUUUUUACUAGACGUGACAACUAUAUCGGAUCGCGUCCAUAAUCUUUCAUUAUCUGACCUCAGACAGUUAAUAUGACCCACUGAA
rnacentral:misc_RNA from 1 species